GAAAUGCGAUAAGUAGUGUGAAUUGCAGAAUUUAGUGAAUUAUUGAAUCUUUGAACGCACAUUGCGCCCUUUGGUAUUCCUUAGGGCAUGCCUGUUCGAGCGUUAUUUAAACCUUUAAGCUUAGCUUGGUGUUGGGUGACUGUCUGCCGCCUCUAGGCGGUUGGACUCGCCUUAAAUUGAUUGGCGGCUGGUACUUUGGCUUUGAGCGCAGCAGAAACGCGAACUUGAGGCUGUCGUCCUGGCUCCUAGAAGCUAUCUUUAUAAUUUUGACCUUGGAUUAGGUAGGGAUACCUGCUGAACUUAA
rnacentral:misc_RNA from 1 species